UAGUCGUGGCCGCGACGGUGUUCCAGCAU
rnacentral:piRNA from 1 species